AGCAGGCUCCAGGCUCCCAGCUGUCAGCACAGAGCCCGACAUGGGGCUCGAACUCACGGACUGCGAGAUCAUGACCUGAGCUGAAGUCAGACACUCAACUGACUGAGCCACCCAGGCACCCCGGUAUAAAUCUUAUAAAACAUGGGAAUUAAACUGAAAUCAGUAAAACACUGAUGAAAGAUAUCAAAGGAAAUAUAUGAAGUUGCAGAUUAGUGAAGAAAAACUAUUACUGUUUUUCAAAACAGACCAAAGUGGAUUCACUCUAUCCUCUCUUUUAUGGUGGGCCUUGGGUGCAAGAGCUUAUUACAGAGUUUCUAUAUUACAAAGGGACCCAUGAAAAGAGACGGGUAGGAUUGGUAGGCAGACUAGAAAUCAUUUUUUGUUUGUUUGUUUUGGUUGUUCAUUGGUUUGUUUGAGAUAAAAAGGAUAGUGAUGCACUUUGUUUCUAAGCUUGUAAUCAGAACUUUGAAUGUAAUCUAUAAGUAUGUUCUUCCAAAGCGAAAGCCUGUCCCCUUUUAAUGUCAUUUGUAAGGUAAAGUCAGUGUGACUGUAUUUAUCUAACAAAAAAAUUUUCUAUCUAAUGUUAUCUCAUAAUUCCAUAUUUUGGUUCUGGUCAAAUCAUCUGGAGGUGAUGGAUCACAAGGAUAUAUUAACCACUCUACUCAAUUUAGCUUACAGUAGAUGCAAAUUCCAGUUAUUCAUAUUUUUCAUUUGUUCUACUCCAGAGUUUUUUGAUUCUUACCAGUGAUAUGUACCACAGUAACUUUAACUCCCUGUAGGUUAUUAUACAGUUAAUAAAAGAUCUUCCUUAAGAAAGGGAACAAUUUCAACUAAUCAGCAGUCACAGGCCCCAGGUAUUGCAUAAUUCAGUUAAAUUUUUAUUAAUUUGAUUCAAAUGCUGGGUCAACUCUAUAAUUCAAUUCUCUUACUCCCUGACUGCUGAAAUAUUAAGUCAAGAAACUGAACUAAUUGAUUACAUUUCUAGUUCAUGUUAUCCACCCAUGAAAUAGGUGUGUUCAUUGCUGUUAAACAAGUUUUAUGUUUUACUCUAAAUAUUUUGUGUUUCUCCAGCACUCAAUCACCCCACCCAUGAUUUUCUUUGAUAAUAUCCUUCUUUCUUCAUUGGAAAGAUUGAGGACUAUCACAUCAAUUCUAUUAAUUUUCCUCUUCAUUGGAAAAAUGUUUUUGAAUUUUUACAUACUUUCCAUUUUCCUUCUAAUCUCAGAAAAGAAAAUUUCCUCGUUUUGUUAAUUCUAAUGCUUGUGCCUUCCAUCUCUUCUCACCUUUUGGUGAUAUUUUGCUUCAUCAAUUAUAUCCUUGUAUCAUCAGUCUCUUUCCAUUCUCCUCACUUUCCCUCAACAGACAUGUUUCUUUCGUUAAUCUUGUUAUCUUAUUUAUUUGCCCUUCAAUAGCUCACGGUAUUUAAAUAGCACUUUAUAAAGUAAUAUAUGCCUUACAUUGUCUAAACUAUAUGAAAAAGAUUGUACACUUGACUCUUGUAGCUUAGGAGCCUUACUGAGAAUUAGUAGUAAAACUAACCUUAACCGUGCGAUUCAUUUUGGCAUAUGUACUUUUAAAUGAUUGAAAAUAGGUUUAUGUUAAUUAUUUAUGUGAUUAGAUGCAUAUUCUAAUUUUACUAAUUUAACAACAAAUUAUUUUCCUCUAUUCAUAUUUACCCAAGAGUGAUCUAUUAGACAAAAAUUGAUAUAAUUUACCAGAAAAAAUGGGUGUCAUUAUUCUUGCAGGAAGAACCCCCUCUUGGGUACUUUUGUAUCUCUCUGGGCUUAUGAUUUUCUACCCUGAAAAUCAGACUCAUUAUUUCAGUGACUUUUUUGUAGUUAUACUACAAAAUACACUACUGAGAUACUUUGCUGUCUCAGAAAUUAAUCAAGGCCAACCCUAUCCUACCAAACCUAGAAAUAACAGCAAUAUAACCUUUUGAAAACCAGUUAAAAAAACCCUCAUGCUGCUUUAUAUCACUUAAAUACCACUAUGCCAUAAUGAAAUAGCCAAACAACUAUGUUUUCAUCGCAUGGCAAAAAUAUAUGUCUCAUGAGAUUAUGAGAACUGUUGUGAUUAAAACACAUCACUAACACAAUCAAAGCAUUAUUACCUAUGACAAUCUGUUGGCAUAUGGGAAUAGCAUCUUCUAUAGAACAAGAGAACAGGGUUGCCUGGGUGGCUUAGUUGCUUGAGCAUCCGACUUCAGCUUAGGUCAUAAUCUCAUGGUUUUUAGGUUUGAGCCCUGCAUCAGGCUCUGUGCUGAAAGCUCAGAGCCUGGAGCCUGCUUUGGAUUCUGUGUCUUCCUCUCUCUCUCUCUGCCCUUCCCCCCUUGUGCUCUGUCUCUGUCUCUCAAAAAAUAAAUAAAUAAACAUUAAGAAAAAAAAGAACCAGAGAACAGAUUUACAUUCAUACCUAAAUAUGUAAUUCCAAGAAUUAGAGAAAUAAAUACACAGAAGAUACAUAGUAAUAAAGUUCAAAUGAAAUAUACAAAUGUUAGGUUUUUAAUGUAAUUUGGAGGCGCUUUUUUGCAGGUAAAACCUAUACAAUUAUUGAAUGUUAAAAACACAUUCUGGAGGAUUCUUGGAAGAUGGCAGAGUAAGAAGCACCAAGAAUCUGUCUCCCCAUUGAGACAACAAUACACUGGCAGAAUUUGUCUGCUGCAACUGUUUCAGAACUCUGGAAUCUAUUGAAGAUUUGCAAAUUCCAGAGGAUAUCUUGGAUGGCAAAUUGCAGUUAUUUUGGUCAAUUUCAGGUCUUAGCACAGUAGUAGCUACCAAUUCCCUACUCCUAGCCACUAUGGCAGGCAGCUGUGCACAUGUUACUGGACCAGUCUGUACAUAGCUUGCAGGAACCAAACUGGGCAAAAUAGACCCUGUCCUCCACAUCUCAAGGUCUGAUCACAGAGAUCCAGGUGUCCAUUGUUGUACCUCCUCCCAUUGUUGUAUGACCCCAUCCCCCCAGAUGGAGUGACUUUUAGAGGAUUUAAAGGGCCAACAACUUUUUCCUCUCCCAGUCAUUUUUUUCUUUCUGCCCUUUUGAGAGCAAGACAUUAAAGAUUAGGACAUUAAAAAACAACUUCACAUAUGGGGAAAAUUAGAAUGUGACUAUGCAUACUAAGAGAAAGGCUCAGAAAAGACCUGGAAGACCUUAAUUUUUUUUUUUUUUACAUUUUUAUUCAUUUUUGCGAGACAGAAGGAGACAGAGUAUGAGCGGGGAGGGGCAGAGAGAGAGGGAGACACAGAAUCUGA